rnacentral:lncRNA from 1 species
CGCACACCCACGCACGUAGUCGCAUUCACAUCCCACCUCGCUCCUGACGUGCUCUAAACCAGCAAGCGCUUCGUCCCGACGCCAAAUGAGGGCCGGAAGUGGAAUCCCGUCAUAUUUUCCAUGGAAAACUGCCUUUCACCAAUCAUUUCUUCUGGAAAAUCAUGGAAUGUGGGAAUGGAGAAGAAGGGAAAGGCCCUCCAGCCCGUCAGCUCUGGUUACCCAUCAGGAAAGGGAGACCAGACGGCAUGGCUGACCCCAGGCAAGGAAUUUUUUUUUAUUAUUAUUAUUUCUAACAAAAAAUGUGAGGGAAGAGGGAAUUGUGUGGUGCCGUGGUGGUGACCUUCGGCAGCGCUAGCCCAUUACAAACUCGUCCCUCGGGUGGCCUUUUGAGACGCACAACGCGGCGGGUCCUUAAGGAGAAGGGCUGGAAAGGUGUAAGGAGUAGGUAAGCACCCUCAAAUGUAGUUCUUAGCAAACAAAACAAUUAAAAUAAUUGUUACCCUAUCAGCAGCGCUUAAAGCAGACUUCUUUGGGAGGCCUGGGUGGUUCAGUUGGUUAAGCCUCUGCCUUCGGCUCAGGUCAUGAUCCCAGGGUCUUGGGAUCGAGCCUUGCUCAGCGGGGAGCCUGCUUCUCCCUCUGCCUGAUACUCUCUCUGCUUGAGCUCUCUCUCACUCUCUUUC